rnacentral:rRNA from 1 species
GGCUCAGGAUGAACGCUAGCGGCAGGCUUAAUACAUGCAAGUCGUACGGGAUCCGAGGUAGCAAUACUUUGGUGAGAGUGGCGCACGGGUGCGUAACACGUAUGCAACCUACCUUUAACCGGGACACAACCUCGAGAAAUUGAGGCUAAUAUCCCAUAACACUGCGAAGUGGCAUCACUUUGCAGUUAAAACUCCGGUGGUUAUUGAUGGGCAUGCGCGACAUUAGCUAGUUGGUGAGGUAACGGCCCACCAAGGCUACGAUGUCUAGGGGUUCUGAGAGGAUUAUCCCCCACACUGGUACUGAGACACGGACCAGACUCCUACGGGAGGCAGCAGUAAGGAAUAUUGGUCAAUGGGCGCAAGCCUGAACCAGCCAUGCCGCGUGAAGGAUGACGGCCCUAUGGGUUGUAAACUUCUUUUGUACGGGAAAAAACCACCGGUCGUGUAUCGGUGCUGAUGGUACCGUAAGAAUAAGCAUCGGCUAACUCCGUGCCAGCAGCCGCGGUAAUACGGAGGAUGCAAGCGUUAUCCGGAUUCAUUGGGUUUAAAGGGUGCGCAGGCGGAGUGAUAAGUCAGUGGUGAAAGCCUACAGCUUAACUGUAGAACUGCCAUUGAUACUGUCAUUCUUGAGUAUUGUUGAGGUAGGCGGAAUGUGUCAUGUAGCGGUGAAAUGCUUAGAUAUGACACAGAACACCGAUCGCGAAGGCAGCUUACCAAGCAAUAACUGACGCUCAUGCACGAAAGCGUGGGGAUCAAACAGGAUUAGAUACCCUGGUAGUCCACGCCGUAAACGAUGAUCACUCGAUGUUGGCGAUACACAGUCAGCGUCUUAGGGAAACUAUUAAGUGAUCCACCUGGGGAGUACGGUCGCAAGAUUGAAACUCAAAG